AGGGGUAUAGCUCAAUUGGCAGAGCGUCGGUCUCCAAACCCGAAGGUUGUAGGUUCGAUUCCUACUGCCCCUGCCA
rnacentral:tRNA from 1 species